ACAGCAAGCAAAUUCUGCGUCCUUUCUUCAGCUUCCAUCGAACCCGAUCGAACCACAGAAGUGAAGGUCCUCACGUGUGUCCUUUACAAGCAGAGGCUCACUGAUAGACGACUCUGUUACCAGUUCUAGGGCUGACACACCCACCCACGUCCCCACCCCCGGUGUAUCCUUUACAGCUUAUGCGUGCCAAAGGAGGAGCUGCUGGUUCCAAGAUGAGACCUCUGCUGGACACUUUGAAUGACACACAGAGCAUUGAGAAGAAAAGGGAUGUUGUUAUCUGCUGCCUCAUUAGCUACCUC